GCCUGGAUGGCUCAGUGGGUUGAGCGUCUGACUUCGGCUCAGGUCAUGAUCUCAUGGUUUGUGGGUUGGAGCCCCACGUCGGGCU
rnacentral:tRNA from 1 species